CCCACCCCAUGGAGGACAGCAGAGGCUGAGGUCACAUUCCUGGGGUCCGUGCCCUUCGCUAGGGUGGGAGCUCACAAGCCCACCUGGACAUUCUUCUUGUCAACAUUCUUCAGUCUCCAGAACUCCAGUUUCCACCCAAGGUUUAGAAUUCUGUCACUUUGCGUCUCAGCUCAAAUGAUCAAGCCCGGGCCAUGCCCGUGGAGUCCCUCCACUGUUGUUUUCUACCCUUACAUCAAUCCACGAUCAUAAAAAACAUAGAAAAAGCAGUGGAACAAUGAACACAGUGACAAGACAUGAACCCAGCAACAAGAGAAACACAAAAGGUCGGUAAAAGACCUGUCUGGGAAGGUUUUGCACCAUCCUUCGGCGGCAACGCGGGGUCAGCACUGCUGGGAAGGGGUCUCGGUGUCACCGUCACUGGGAAGGUGGUGCGUACAAAAAUACAGUCAUCUCCUUGUGUUGUCCAAGGGAAGGAGCUGUAACAUAGAGCUAGUGGCUUUCAAAUCCAUCGAUCCCCAUUGGAUAAUCCUUUUUGAGAGGCGUGAAGUAAUUAUCUCGUGUGAUCUAUCCCCACUGCACCCUUCUCUCGCCCUUCUGAGAGUUAUUGGUCAUUCACACUUUUAAAAAAUAGAUAUAUUUAUCAAAAUACCCCAAAGGCAAAAACAACAAAAAAACAAACAACAACAACAACAACAACAACAAAAAAAUCUUUCAUAAGCUAUUUCUCAAAACGAGGAAGGGUGCACAAAACAAAACAAAACAAAAAAAACCAACAACAAAAAAAAAGUCUGCAUGAAAAGCAAGCACUCAGAAGGAAGUAAUAGCAGCAAAGUAGUAUAGAUGUCAUGAGUUCACUCUGUCUCGAGUCAUCGGUUGUUGAAAAUAACCUCCAACCAGCAGGGGCAACUGCUGAUGAACUGUCUCGUGUAGCACUGGCCCCAGCCUUUCACAAAGCUGAUCUGCACGGUAAAUCCUGUCCAUGGCUGCUGCGUGAACUCGUGGUCGUUGGGUCUCUGCAAGGUGUACGCCUUCUCGUAGUCAAAAGCCUUGAUGGAAAACCCUGGGAACACUUUGUGAACCAGCAACGUCCUGGAGUCGGGGUUGUCCAGUGUGGCCGACUUGAUGAAGAUGGGGUAACUGCUGCGGUUGUACACCCACACGCCGUCCACUUCCUUGGUGAGCUGGAUGCCGUAGCCGAUCUUGCUGCGCACCUUCUGCACCAGCUGGCUUUUGUUGUCUGAGUUGAGCUGUCCGAGGCAGAAACCAUUCCCCUGAGGUAGAUCAUAGAAGAUAUCCAGGGAGGGCUCUUGGACAGAGUACAGCCGACCCACACGUGUCUUCUCUUCCCAGUAUGCCACCACACACCAGUGUGACCUAUCCCCUGGCUCCUGAAGAACUUGAGAAUCUGCAGAACAACAGGGGGGAAAGAAAAAGGAGAGAUUUAGCACCAAGGGAAUCAACACGAGCCAAAAGCAACGCAGAACCAACAGGACCUUGCCUGCCCACGUCUUCAAGAUCCUCUCCACACAUACAUCAACAUCCAUCCACUAUUUCCAAAAAAACAUUUCCAGGUUUGAGGCACUCCUCUGUGGUUCCAGUGCCUAGCUCUGGCUGGAUUUACAGGUCCUGAAUGACACAGUCAGUGACAGUGACACAGCCACCCUCACCCAAACCAACACCAGUGCCAACAGGAGAGGUGAGAUGCUUGUGCCACCAAACACGUGAACCCCCUGAUUCUCAACUACUGAAUAACAGAUUUAUUUCCAUAAAUGACAAUGUACUGUGCACAGACACUGAAAACGAUGAGGUGCUGCUAAGAAAACCACACUGAGAGCCACCCCAUGGGACCAGAGGGGAUGAGAACUUGACUGCUCUGGUGUGUGGGGCUUUCUCCUGCCUGCAGGGCCUGGGUGAUGGACAGUAUGAGAUGCCACCCUAACCUAUGGGAAGCACCAAAAGACAGAGGGAACCAAAAAAAAUCUCACACAAGUUAACGAAAUUUGCCUAAAAGCUGACAAUAAAAUUGUAGAAGUUCAUUCGUGCAGCCCUUCUCUCAACUCCCUGGCCCGUAAUUACCCCAUGCAGCAUGGCAAUGAUGUAGGAGGAAAAAGCAAGGCAGGAGGAGGGAAGAAAUGUGAGAAAGCCCCUUUUCCUGACAGAGGAUCCCAAGCAGCCUGGCGCUGCUCGGCGGGUAAUUCCUUCCAGCCUCAGUAGGCAUGUUAAGACCUGGGAACUAUUCAUCUCUAUAAUAGUAUUUGAAAAAAAAAAAAUCAAGCUGGGAAUGCAAGCUAGUGAGCACUACCAAAAUAAUCCCCUGAACUAUGAGAGAAACUACUGGAGCUGGGGUGGUGGGUGACCCAGCAACCAAAAGCUCUUCCUGCAGUCCCCCCACCCCACCCUUCCCCAGGGCAACAUGCUGGCUGCCUGCUCUCUCUACUUUUUGCUAUUAAUAAACCCAUUUUCCCAGUUUUCUUCCCAUCUCGUUCAAGCCCUGUGCUGUGCUUUUAAGAGAGGAGAGACACAAAAAAAAAAAAAGAAAGAAAAAAAAGAAAAAAGAAAAAAAAAAAAGCCCAGCCACACACUUUUAAUUUCCUCAUUUCUAUGCCAGCAAGGAAAAUAUUUCUCCAGUUGCUGGAGGCAGCUACUAAAAAUGGGCCUGGCUGUGGAUGUCUCAAAAUAGAGACCCUCAUUCCCAGGUUAAACCAGGGACAGGGGUUCUGGCCAUGCUGGGGUGGUCCCUGGGACAGCAUCUGCUGAGAUGCACCCCAGUUUGUCCUUCCACUCCCUUUUUUGGUGCCUCACAAGACUCUGUUGUGGGUAAUUUUAUGUUCUGCUGAAACCUGGGGCUGAGGAGGGGCAGGGAGGGCAGUUUGGGUUACUUCCUCCCCACUAACACAGAUUGGGUGCCAUCCAUGCAAAAGUGCAUCCAGAGGGGCAAGAAACUCCUCCAGGAUGGAGUUUCCACCACCUGCCUGGGAGAGAGAAGAAUCUGGGAGGGUUGUUUCUGGAUCCAGGGCAAGGAUGCUCCUCAAUCCAAAGGGGGAUCUCUGUUGACCACCCACUACCUCUCUCCUCACUGUCAGCCUGCCAGUGAUGUUCAGAGCCUUUUGGGUUUUGUUUUACAGCAGCUGGGGGAAUUUUGGAGCCAUUGGACCCCUGCUGAAAUUCCUACAGGUUUUUAUUGAUUCGAACAUAAAACCAUCCCUUUCAGGAGGUGGCAGGGGUGGGAAAAAAGGACUUUUUCACCUGGUAUUUGUGCUUGUAUUAGUGAAGACCAUGUAACAACUAGUUCACUACUGCUCACAGAGAGCUAUUUAAUUGCUAGAGCAUUUAUGGAAAAGAAAAAAACACAAACCUACCAAUAAUAAUUUUUUUAAAAAAGAAGAAAAAAUAGAAAAUUGCCUUGGCGAUGAAUGAACGGACCUUUAUGGAGGGCUGGAAGUUCAUGAAUGAAUCCCACUAGGUUUCUGAAUGACAUGGGGUGACCAGACCUCAAGGACGAAUCUUAGGUAAUCCGGGAUGUUUGAGUUUUUUUUAAGGAGCUGAUGCCAGCACACAGUAUAAAUAUGCCAGAGCCUCUUCCGUUUGCGGGCUUCAGCUGUUGACUG